rnacentral:rRNA from 1 species
UUGUCUCAAAGAUUAAGCCAUGCAUGUCUCAGUACAAGCCGAAUUAAGGUGAAACCGCGAAAGGCUCAUUAAAUCAGUUAUGGUUCCUUAGAUCGUACCCACAUUUACUUGGAUAACUGUGGUAAUUCUAGAGCUAAUACAUGCAAACAGAGCUCCAACCGGAAACGGAAGGAGCGCUUUUAUUAGAUCAAAACCGAUCGGUGGCGGUUUCCGUCAUCGUACAACUUGGUGACUCUGAAUAACUUUACGCUGAUCGCACGGUCUCGCACCGGCGACGCAUCUUUCAAAUGUCUGCCUUAUCAACUGUCGAUGGUAGGUUCUGCGCCUACCAUGGUUGUAACGGGUAACGGGGAAUCAGGGUUCGAUUCCGGAGAGGGAGCCUGAGAAACGGCUACCACAUCCAAGGAAGGCAGCAGGCGCGCAAAUUACCCACUCCCGGCACGGGGAGGUAGUGACGAAAAAUAACGAUACGGGACUCAUCCGAGGCCCCGUAAUCGGAAUGAGUACACUCUAAACCCUUUAACGAGGAUCAAUUGGAGGGCAAGUCUGGUGCCAGCAGCCGCGGUAAUUCCAGCUCCAAUAGCGUAUAUUAAAGUUGUUGCGGUUAAAAAGCUCGUAGUCGAAUCUGUGUCCCGCGCCGUCGGUUCAUCGUUCGCGGUGUUAACUGACGUGUCGCGGGACGUCCUGCCGGUGGGCUUAGCUCGAGAGGGCGGCCCAACUCAAUCCCGCCGCGGUGCUCUUCAUUGAGUGUCGAGGUGGGCCGGCACGUUUACUUUGAACAAAUUAGAGUGCUUAAAGCAGGCUAAAACUUCGCCUGAAUACUGUGUGCAUGGAAUAAUGGAAUAGGACCUCGGUUCUAUUUUGUUGGUUUUCGGAACCCCGAGGUAAUGAUUAAUAGGAACGGAUGGGGGCAUUCGUAUUGCGACGUUAGAGGUGAAAUUCUUGGAUCGUCGCAAGACGGACAGAAGCGAAAGCAUUUGCCAAAAACGCUUUCAUUGAUCAAGAACGAAAGUUAGAGGUUCGAAGGCGAUCAGAUACCGCCCUAGUUCUAACCAUAAACGAUGCCAGCUAGCGAUCCGCCGACGUUCUUCCGAUGACUCGGCGGGCAGCUUCCGGGAAACCAAAGCUUUUGGGUUCCGGGGGAAGUAUGGUUGCAAAGCUGAAACUUAAAGGAAUUGACGGAAGGGCACCACCAGGAGUGGAGCCUGCGGCUUAAUU